rnacentral:lncRNA from 1 species
UCAUUUCAUGCAUGGCAAUUCGAUUCACAUUUCUAUCUACUUUUCAUAUACUUUCAUGCAUGGCAUUUCAACUAAUAUAUCUCAUAUACUUUUAUACAUUUUCAUUAAAAGCAUAAUUUCAUGCAUUUUCAAUUUCUGGGAAAACGGCAAGUAUAUAUGUAUACGGAAAACCAAACUGCCCACUCACCUGGAGUUCGCCCUACAACUCCCUAGCACAAUACGCCAAGGCGUCAUGACGAUCGCCGCCUAGAACAGUAAUCAAAUCCAACCUCAGAAUUCAUAUCGAUAGAAUGUAUAACUUAUAUAAAAUACGUCACUACGUUGAUCGAUCCGGAAGAUCUGCCACUCAGAUUUUAAAUCCAUAACUGCCAGAGGUCCACAAUAUAUCUCUAGCAUAACAUCCUAAAAUUUCAUUACCAUCCAACAGUCGGAUCUCCGUCAAUUUCCAAAACUAAGUGACGGUUAACAUUUUAUUUUAUGAACUUACAAUUCCAAUUCCGGAAGAUCCGUAACUCGGAUUCCCAAUCCGUAAGUUCCAAUAAUCCUCAAAUAUUACGUAUUACAACGUAUCAAAGUUUGGUAACGAUCCAACGGUCGGAUCGUCAAUUCAUAUUUUCACCUAAAUGCAAAAACUAUAAAACGUUAUUUGAACACCUAACCAACAAUCCUUAAUAACUUUCUCAUACGGUGCUCAAUUUGGGUAUAUGAAUAUACCACAGUGAUCUACUCGACGUCACGGACGUUGACAUAUUUUUAAAAUAAUUUUUUUACUGUAGCACGCGCCCCCACGCGCCAAGGAAGGCACGGACCUACGCGCACCUUCUUCUUCCUUGGGUCGCCGGACUGGUUUUUCCGGCGGCCGUUUUUCAAAUUGCUAUAACUUUGUCAUUUCUCAACGAAAUCAAGUGAUUCAAAAACGAAAGUUGUAGCCCUUGAAGAGACAAAGAGAAUGGUACCUUGCACAACACCUAGUUCGCCGUAUUUUGGCCGGAAACUGCCUCGAAAGCCUCGGAGGUCGCCGGAAACUGGGUAUUUUUCAAAUGAGUAUAACUUCUUCAAUACUCAACGCAAUUGAGUGAAACAAAAAGGAAAGUUGUAGUAAUUGACGAGACGAAGAGAUUGAUACCUACCUCGACUCCUAAAUCGUCGGGGAUUCGCCGGAAAACGCCUCGAAAGCUCCGGCCAAACUUUGAACUUGUCGAUCUCCGUGUUCUUACGUCCAAAAACUUCCAACGAAGCACUCCGAGCUUCCUUGGGAC